rnacentral:rRNA from 1 species
UCACCCCCAAUUUGGGGAGUUGGGUUCGCACCAGAAGUACUUAGUCUAACCUUAGGGAGAGACAGAUUACCACGGUGUGUUUCAUGACUGGGGUGAAGUCGUAACAAGGUAACCAAA